rnacentral:tRNA from 1 species
GGUAAAAUGGCUGAGAAAUAAGCGAUAAAUUGUAAAUUUAUAAACGAAUAAGAAAUUCUUUUACC